UGAAGAGUUUUCUCACCCAACGAGUCGCAAUCUAAUCUUGGGAAUAUUAUUAUCUUAGGGAGUUUYAUUUCCGAAUCAUCUUGAAAACUAAAGGCUCUCUUGGUGCUUUCUUACAUCAGCUGUCGCAUUGUCUUCUCGGUCUGCACUCGUCCACUAGCAAGAAGCCCAGURUUAAUUGUCCAUUAUACAGUGAUAUCACAAUAGAAUCUAAAUACAACACAUUUUUACAACAUUAACUAAGGACGCUGAAGAUUUUGGCAAGAGUUUAACAGAUAAUUAUGAGAGUAACAUAUUCUAUCUUGCUCCUGUCCAGUUUAUUGAUUUUAUUUGGUAACAGCGCAGAGGGCUUUGGYAUGUUCUCAGGUCAUCGUAAUGGAAAGAAGUCGUCCAUCGAGACACAUCCUGAUAAAAGAUGCAUCGCAGCGAGACAGCUCGGGUGCUGUAGCGGACGACCACAUGAACGAGUUCAAGCUCAACGACGGUUUAACGCGGUUGGAGACGGAAAGUAACGCUGAAUUCUGUAAUAUCAGUGUAAUGUUAAUGCUACUACUUAAAAACUAAUCAAAAAUGCAACUUUUUGUAUUAGAUUUAGUUAAAAGUUACUCUACUCUCAUGUAAUACUCUAUGUUUUGUAUGUAGCUUUAUUAUUUUGCUGAUGUGAACACUUAWAGAUCAAAUACAAAGAAUUUGUCAAGUUUCA